rnacentral:rRNA from 1 species
UACAGAGGUGGCAAGCGUUGUUCGGAAUUACUGGGCGUAAGGGCGCGUAGGCGCCUUGUAAGUCUCGUGUGAAAGCCCUCGGCUUAACUGAGGAUCUGCACGGGAUACUGGCGAGGCUUGAGUUCGGGAGAGGAAAGCGGAAUUCCGGGUGUAGCGGUGAAAUGCGUAGAUAUCCGGAGGAACACCAGUGGCGAAGGCGGCUUCUCGGACCGACACGUGACGCGU